GACGUAGGGGCAAGCGUUGUUCGGAAUUAUUGGGCGUAAAGCGCUCGUAGGCGGGACUGUAAGUCCGUGUUGAAAGACCUCGGCUCAACUGAGGACCGGCUCGGAUACUAUAGUUCUUGAGGCAAUCAGAGGUGAUGGAAUUCCGGUGUAGCGGUGAAAUGCGUAGAUAUCGGAGGAACACCAGUGGCGAAGGCGAUCACCUGGGUUGUUCUGACGCUGAGGAGCGAAAGCUA
rnacentral:rRNA from 1 species